rnacentral:rRNA from 1 species
UACGGAGGGGGCAAGCGUUGUUCGGAAUUACUGGGCGUAAAGGGCGCGUAGGCGGCAUGACAAGUCACUUGUGAAAUCUCCGGGCUUAACUCGGAACGGUCAAGUGAUACUGUCGCGCUAGAGUGCGGAAGGGGCAAUCAGAAUUCUUGGUGUAGCGGUGAAAUGCGUAGAUAUCAAGAGGAAUACCUGAGGUGAAGACGGGUUGCUAGGCCGACACUGACGCUGAAGCGCGAAAGCCAGGGGAGCAAACGGG